UUAUACACCUACGUGACGUGAGCAUUCAAUAAUCAUCCUACACAUAUGCUGAUGUGAGCAUUCAAAAUCAUUAGAAUGAUUUAAUUGAAGACUCAACGUACGGACGUCUUUUUCACUUAGAUUCCCUUCCCGUACAAACUUGCAUCAGUUCCUCCACGACCCCAUCAAUCUCUUCAUCCUCUUUCUUGUUCAUGUUGUCUCUUAUUUUCAAUGCCUUUUUUCUCACUCCCUCUCCAAUUUUCUCCACAAAAACAUCUCUAAUCACCUUUGCGACCUCUUCUCUUUGCAAACUUCCUUCACCUGUUCUCUUAACCUCAACACCAACACCCACCUCCUCCACUAGUCUAGCGUUGAUCGGCUGGUCAAGAUGCAUAGGCAUGGCUAUAAUUGGAACACCAAACUUGAUGCUCUCCAACACUGAGUUCCAUCCGCAGUGACUCACAAACCCCCCAACACUAGAAUGCUGCAGUAUCUUUGCCUGUGGGGCCCAACCCUCCAUUAUCACUCCCUUCUCUCCCACCCUCUGUAAAAACCCUUCUGGUAACACCUCUUCAACCCUAGUAUUUUUCUCCUCCUUAGAAAAUCUUAUAACCCAAAUGAAGCUCACUUUGCUAAGCUCUAAUCCGUGAGCUAUCUCUUCUAUUUGCUCCUUGGACAGAAAGUACUCACUGCCAAAGCAUACAUACACUACAGAAGACCUUUCCAUUUUGUUCAGCCAUUUCAUGAUCCAUGUUUCCUCAUCAACUUUUUGAUCCACUGGCUCUUGAACAAGCGUGCCAACAGGCACGAUCUUUUUCCCCAUUAAAUCAGAGAGAUAAUCAAUAUAUUUUUCUUCAAUCCCCCUGGAUGUCUUUACCAAAAUGAUGUUACAAGAUCGAGCACUGCAUUGCUGAACACGGUCUCCAUCUUUGAUGCCAUUUGCUGAAGAUUCCAACACGUUGUUGAACUUUUCAGCUUCGUAAUCUUGAAGAUAAAUCGAAGGAAAAGGAAACUUGACACUAGGGUUCUUGAGAUGUUGAAUACUAAAUGAAGUAAAGGCAGCACCCAUGGUGAUGAAUUCGAUGGAUGGAAAAUUUUGCAAUGAAGCUAGAGAGGGCGCCCAUGGUUGAAGAAAAUCAUAUAUGAGCAAAUCUGGGCUUAGGGUUUUGAGGAUGUUGGAGAAGUUGUUGCUGGACAUAUCAAAGGCCCUUUUGAGAGUGGACAUGAGAUGGGGAGGGAGGCCAUUGGUGGUAUGGUAGUGAGGUGGGAGUUCAGGCAAGUCAUCAUGUGGAAGAUGGAGUUCCACAAAUUCAAUGCAAUGAGAAUAUUUUUGGGAGAGUUUAGGCUUGAUGGAGCUGAGAUUUACAGGCGUGGAACAAAUAAAGAUGUGAAAAUUUCUCUUGGUGGUCAGCUUCUUGGCUAGCUCUAGGUAGGGAGAUAUAUGGCCGUGAGCUAGCCAUGGAAGCAUAAGAAUAGUAAGUUUUCUUUGGUCAGAGUAAACCAUAUUUUGUUUUCCUUUCACUCUUUUGCUUGAGGUUGCUCGAUUAUAGGCUUAUUGGUAGUUUUUUUGUAGCUAGCUCUAUGCAUAUAUAUAUAUAUAUACACACACAUUCAUGGGAAAAGAGGCUUGGGGAUGGGAAAUCAAUUGAUUUCCUAUGUUUGGUAAAGUUCGGGUAUGAGAAAUCGUUGCUUUGCACAUGAGAAAGUAGAGGGGAAAGUGAAGCCCUCCUCCUUCCUUAGGUUUUGUUUUCCUCCUCAUGGGAAAGUUUGGGAAAAUGAGCUAAUAUUAAAUACAUAUUUUUCAUGACCAUAUUAUCCCCAUUAAUAAUUUAGAAUUACAUAAAUGCAUUCUAUUUUUAUUUGAUUUCAUAUGGGUAUAAUUGAAAAAUUAAACAAAUUUUGUUUUACAUUCCUACACAAACCAAACAUGUGAAAGGAAAUAAAGUGGUAUUUCUUGGUUACUUUCCCAAGAUUACCAAACAUAGGAAAGGAAUCUCUAUUUCCCAUCCCUUAGAAAAUGACUUGGAAAGUAAUUUCUCCUCAAAUUCGUUCCGUGAACCAAACGGAACCUGCAUAAUAGAAGUUCCAAAAAAACACGUGAUGAUUGGAUCAUGCAUAUGUAAGUUCCCGAGUGAUGAUUGGAACAAGUUCCUAAUGAUAAAGACUCGAAACAAGAAUAGUUUAAACUUUCUUCUUUGUUUGGCUUGAUAUAAGACGAAUGCACCAAACAAACCGACUAAUUGCUGGCACAAUAUAAAUUGGGGCUACAAUUACCUAAUAAUUAGGUACUAAGGGCUACAAUUACCUAAUAAUAUCAACUUUCAUUAUACAGAUUUGAGAAACAAAAAGUUCAACUUUGAUGACAAGCGAUAUUAAAGGAGGGCGUAAUCAAACUUAGGAUCUUGAGUGUAGAAAUAAAUACUUUUAACAACUUGAGCUACAAGCCUUUUGUAAUAUUAAUGAUAUUUUAAUUAUACGUUUGAAUAGUUCGCUUCCUUCUCUUUUAUUUUCAUUUGUUUAUAUUUAACUCUAAUUUUAUUUAUAUUUUUGGUCAAGGUAAAAAGACUUUGAAUCUCUCUCCAAUGAUUUUCACAGCCGAAACUCCUUUAGUUUCCACAAAUAUUUUUUAAUAUUUCAUGCAUUUGUAAGUUUCCGACUCGGAUGGUUCAUGUAACCAAGAAGUUUAAACUUGUUUUUGCUUGUUCCGCCGACGAAAGCGCAACAAAAGGACAAACUACAACCAAUACUUCUAGUAUCACCAGUUCUCAUUGAAUUUGUUGCCGUGAAUGUUUAGGAUUCUGCCCAAACUAGUAUUUGCGUUUCUGAAUUGUUUGAAAACACAUAUGAAAUUAUGAUUUCUCCUCCCCAGAAGACAAAUUGACGAAGAAGUAUCAUGAUUUUGAUGACACAAAUUAGAAUCCAGGGUUUUCGAAGUGCCUAAUGGACAACUAUUAAUUUAGAAAUAUAUAUAUUUUUUUCGCAAUGCAGAAACACAUAAAUCCCAAGUUUGAAUUCAUCCUAUUUUUGUUUUUGUUUUUUCCUUUUUUAACCCAGAAGAAAAAUUGAGUGCCACUCUGCUAUGUAGAAUGCAAGUUUUAGUUUAGAUUUUUUUUUCUUUUUAGUCUCUUAUUCUACAUUUAGAUCUCAUAUAUUUACUCGCAUUUUAUUAAAUCUAAGUCAUUCAAACAAUCUGACCACUUAACAAAUUACAAGUACUCAAACUUAAAAUCAGAUUGGAUGGACAUGAGGCUUACACUGAUGAUUCUACACGUGCUGAGAAUAGUCCUUUUAUUUCUUUAUUAUUUUCUUGGUCGGGACUCGAGAGACAGGUGUAGUGUAGCGAUGGAGACGAGGCCCGCAAGACAUAAAAGUCUGAAGAAGAGAAGCGUGAAAGCUUCAUUUAGACAGUUAAGUGCAUACGUAACGUAAAGAUUCAAAGACUAUGUCCCUCUCCAAACAGGGAAAGAUCUGAGUUGAAAGCAACAAACUACAGUCACAAUAGGAAAGCAUCUACAACGUAAAGAAAAUAAGUUUACCAGAAGCAUCGGAAAGAUCUAGAGUCUGAAGAAGAGAUACUGAAGUAAUUGUUCAUCGACUGAGCUUAAAUGAAAUAUUAACUCUUUGUUGUGCCAUAAGCACAAGAUCUUAAGAAAAAAAUUCAAGAUAAACCAUAUAAUAUUUUCUAACCCACAAAAUAAUAUAGAAAAUAAAUGCAAGAACAAGAGAAUAGCAAGACACAACGAGGCUGCUUACAAUCAGUGUAAAUGAGCAAACAAAUUCACCAUCAACAAAUUAGCAUGCUUAUGAAGUGUUUUGCAACCUCACAAACCAAGGCGCCAUAUACACCAAAUGACUCUCACUGAAAAACUAAACAAAGAAACACACUCACACUAAUGAAAGCAACGUUACAAGGUAGGAGAUUGAAUAUUACAUUUACAAUACACUCAUAAGUUACAAAAACUAAUUACAAAUAUUUAGCGCAUAGGUUACAUAGAACUGAAAGGGUGGAAUGAUAAGAGCUAUGGUGGUCAUCCACCAACUCAUGCAUUUACAACACCGCCUCUUGAAUGUCCACCAUACAAUACAAUGAUAUAGUUGCGUCAUUAAACACUUUGCUUGAAAAACUAUAUGGGACAAAACUUAGGCUACGGGAAAAAGAGUGCAACACAAAUAAUAUUGAUAUCACAUUUGUCUCUCCUACGGAAUGAGCUUUGGUGAUGUUUGUAUAAAAAUUGCGUACAAACCAUUAUUGGAAGAUUGGGCUAGAGUGGGCUUUACCCUAGUGUUGACUUUGGAAAGAGACAAAUUAGGCUUAGUUGUGUAAAUUCAAUCCAAAAAAAAAUUAAAUAAUAGCCCACAUCUACAGCCAAAUACUUUAAUACUUUAAUUACUAAAGUUUUUUUUUCUUUCUCUCUCUUCUUUGGUUUAUUCAGCUUUUGAUUUGGCUCAAAUAAUGUUUAUAUCUCUCUUUGAUUUUGUUUUUUCAAAUUUAUUGAUGUUGCUUCUUUUGAAAAUUUUGAAAUAUGGACCCUCCCUAACUAAACCACUCCAUUGAGCAAAAGCCCUUGAGCUUCAAAUUUAUCUUCGUCUGAGCCUCUGAAUUUUGGUUUUUUUUAGGUUUUUUUUGUUUGUUGUAGGUUUCUUUGUUCACAUAUCUCUCUAAAAAUAGUAUUUUUCUUAAUGAAUUCUGAAAAUAGUUUUUAAUUUGAAGGAAAUAUACGGAAUUAGUAAAAAAGUAUACCACUUUCAUUAAUCUGAAGGAAAUAUUGCUUUAUAUAUAUUUGUUUAAAAAUAGGGCUUAUAAUUGAUCUCAAAAAAAAAAAAAAAACAAAUAGCCCACCCCUGUAAAUAUUCCUUAGUCCGCCAUUGCAUGGCAUAAUAUUUGGUAUGCUAUGCUAGCAUCUCAUAAGCUCUUCAAGAGACCUGAAUUUUAUGAUAACUUCUUAAAAAAUUUGAAUACAUUUCAACGAUAUUAAACUUGAAUUUGAACUCAUAAUUCAAUCAAAGUACUCAUUGAGGCAAUUUAGAUCAUUUUCAUUUUAAAAAAAUUGGGUGCACACAUUGAGCUUCAUGCUCUUUACCUUCUUAGAGAUUUUAUUUGAGGAAUUUAUAUUGCAUCACAUAUUACAUCUCUUAGGAUUUGUUCUUAUUAUGUAUUCUUUAAGAGAUCUAUUCUUGCAAUAUGCUUCAAACACUUCAUAAUCUUUAUGAAUUUUUCAUGUAGAUUUAAGGUCUCCAUGAAUAUUGAGAUUGAAACAAGGAGUAAAAGAGUUAAAAGUUUAAGAAAUUUUUUCCCUGAUUAUUUUGUAAUUAUAAUGUUGGUGAAAAUCCAAUUUCCUUUCUAGAAUUUGUGAAAUUUGUUAUUUGGCUAAGCUAAAAGUAUAAUUUUGACAAUAAAAAGCAUAUGAAAGUUUCUCUUUGGUUGGCUUCUUGGCUAGCUCUAGGAACGGACAGUGUGGCCAUGAGAUAACCAUGGAAGUAUAAUAAGAAUGCUUGGAUGCUGUGAACAAUCCAUUUUCUGACUCUUUUUCUUGAGGUGGUUGUUUUCUUAUGGCCCAUCAGAGUUUAUGGUCGACAGAUAAGCUUCAAACACAUGCAUUGGUCGUGUCAGUUGCGAUAAACUCUUCCCAACAAUCAACAAUUUCUAAGGUAAUAUCAUCAUUCAAUCAUGUGCUGAAUUUAGAAUUGUUUUCAAAUCAAGGAUUUGUUUUGGAACUCAGAUUUUAAAACAAUUAAAAUUUAAUUGGGAAGACUUUUUGUUUAAAGGAAGUUCGUUUCAAUUCAAAAAAUAAUUUUUCAGUUUUUCAACUCAAAAGUCUUCUCAGUUUUCUUAUUUUUCUUAUUGGCGAGUUUCUUGGUUAACUCUAGGAAGGGAGAUAUGUGGCCAUGAGCUAACCAUGGAAGCAUAAGAACGCUGACCAUGCUUGGAUUUUGAGAAGACUUCCUCUUUUUUUUUUCCCUGACUCUUCUUCUUGAGGCGGUGGUUGGCUUAUGGCCUCAUAAUAGUUUGGUGUUUUUGGAGAUCAUAUGGUGAUGAUCUGAUGGAGAUGAGUCAUAGUUUGUGCUAGUGCAUACGUAAUUCCAAUUUCCUGAUUCAGAUGGGAUAAACUCUUCCAACAAAUUAAGACUCUUAUCAUGCAUACACAUAAGAAGUGGAAAUUUGCUUCUGUCUUAGUUUGGCCUUGAUAUAGGACAGCUCAUAGGAAAGCAUCCAAAACAAUAUUCUUUUUAUUUUUUUUAUUUGAAUACAAGCGAUAUUAGGAGUGUGGGGAUUUGAACACAUGAUUUAGGGUACAGGGUAAUGCUCUUAACUAUAUGAGUUACAAGUCCCUUGCAAACAGUCUGAAAUACUAAAAAUAAAAAAUAGAUGCUCAUCCAUAUGCACUGUCAUGCCCCAACCCUUGGAUUUACAAAACCUUGUGUUAAGACGUGAUUCACACCUUAAUUAUAGAAUUUAAUAAAAACUAUAACUAAAAUGUGAAGAAAACAUUUAAAUAAAUAAAAUAAAUAUUUCACAUAGAAUAUUCAGUGGAAAUGACAACAUGUGAAAUCUUAAAAAUUUUACAUUAUCUUACAAGUUGGCGUGACUUGUGGAUAUUGACUUACUUUCCUUACACACCAAGAAUUCCUAUUAUAAUUGUAAUUGAUUUACUUUAAUUCAUGAUUUCCUACUGUAAAUAGAUUUAAGAAUUUAUUAUUUACUUGCCCAUUCAGGUUUCGUUGUAUUAUAAAUAUGACCUCCUACAAGGAGAAGAACAUACAGAAAAUUCCCACAAACAAAUAUUCUCUCAUAGUUUUCAUAUUUUAGCAUGGUAUCAGAGCGGCAAUCUUGGAAUUGCUGACUCUAGUUUCAAACCCCCGCCGCCGCUAUGGGGGUUGAUGAUUUUUUCAACCAUCAUGGAGGUAGCACCAUCGACUCCUUCUCUCAUUCUCAACUAACCAUCGUUGAGUUGAGUGCCCAGAUGGCUCCGCUCCUACAGAUGCAGACUUUGACCCCAAACCCGAUCCAGAAUCAGGAUCUUCUUUCGACAACCACGACCCCGAUCUCGACUAUGACAACGACGACCCCGACCCCUACUCUGAAGAUGACCCCGACCCCCACUCCGAUGACCCCAACCCCGAAUUUGUCUCUGAUUCAGAACCCGAUCCCGAUUUCGACUCCGACUCCGGCCUCGACUCAGGCUCAGAUUUCGAUCCAAAUUCCUACUCAACUUAUAUCCUAUGCAUCUUCCGCUGCACAGAUUAUGACUUCUAGACUAACGACCCCGACAUAUGGACCAGAUUGCACAUAUUGUGGUGAUCCGAGACACACUUGUGAGACUUGUUUUAAAUCGCAUGGCUACCCCGAUUGGUGGGCUAUUCUUACAGAUCAAGGACAAUGCACCAGUAAUGGUACUGGUUAUGGAUUCCAUACUUCCGAUAAGAUUGAUUCCAGGAGCUGGAUAAUUGAUUCUGGUGCAACUGAUCAUAUGACGUUUGAUCCUGAUGAUUUUCUGAAUACUACACAACCUCGACGAACUUGUAUUGCAAAUGCCAAUGGUGUUACUUAUCCUGUGACAGGGGCUGGCACUGUUGCACUCUCAUCCUCUCUCACACUGUCUAAUACUUUACUUGUUCCAUUUUUAUCCACUAAAUUGUUGUUAGUUAGUCAGCUUACUAAACAAUUGAAGUGUUGUGUACUCAUUUACCUGAGUUUUUGUUUGCUUCAGGAUAUUCACACUAAGGAGAUUCUUGGUCGUGGUACUAAGAGAGGGGGGCUAUAUUAUGUCGAUGACUUCAGUUCCGGCGUGCCUAACAGUGUGACACAUCCCUUUGAUAGCAAACAAAAGCAAAUUUGGUUGUGGCACCUUCGAUUGGGACAUCCGUCUUUCAGUUAUAUGAAGCAUCUUAUACCAGAUUUAUUCUUAGGUUUCAAGGACUCCGACUUCACAUGUGAUACUUGUAUUUUGGCUAACAGUCACCGUGUGCCCUACCUGUUGAGUACGAACAAGUGUACUUGUAAGAUCCCACAUCAACCAACGGAGAGGGGGUGAUGUGCCUUAUAUAUGCACACCUGCAUCCAUCUAGCACGAGGCCUUUUGGGAGCUCACUGGCUUCGGAGUCGUAGGAACUCCGAAGUUAAGCGAGUUGGGGGCUAGAGCAAUCCCAGGAUGGGUGAUCCACUGGGAAGUUGCUCGUGAGCUCCUAGAAACAAAACCGUGAGGGCAGAGAGAGGGGCCCAAAGCGGACAAUAUCGUGCUACGGCGGAGUUGAUCCCGAGAUGUGACAAUUUGGUAUCAGAGCCACUCUGCCGUGUGGUGCGAAUGUGCCGACGAGGACUUCGGGCCCUUAAGGGGGGUGGAUUGUAAGAUCCCACAUCAACCAACGGAGAGGGGGUGAUGUGCCUUAUAUAUGCACACCUGCAUCCAUCUAGCAUGAGACCUUUUGGGAGCUCACUGGCUUCGGAGUUGUAGGAACUCCGACGUUAAGCGAGUUGGGGGCUAGAGCAAUCCCAGGAUGGGUGACCCACUGGGAAGUUGCUCGUGAGUUCCCAGAAACAAAACCGUGAGGGCCAGAGAGGGGGGCCCAAAGCUGAUAAUAUCGUGCUACGGCGGAGCCGAUCCCGGGAUGUGACAAUUGUACUACUCCAUUUACGUUAAUUCACUCUGAUGUCUUGGGACCUUCGCCUAUCACUGCUCCUUCUGGUGUUCGAUGGUUUGUCACAUUCAUCGAUGAUUGUAUACAGAUGACAUGGCUUUAUUUGCUGAAGAAUAAAAACGAAGUGUUUUCCCGUUUUCAGUCCUUCCACAAACAGAUGAAAACUCAGUUUAAUGCUCAAAUCCAGAUUCUUCGCUCAGACAAUGGUGGAGAAUUUGUCAAUCAUGACUUUCAGACUUACUUCCAACAACAUGGAAUUAUCCAUGAGACGACUUGUCCUCAGACACCACAACAAAAUUGUGUUGUUGAACGAAAGAAUUGACAUCUUCUUGAAACCGCCCAAGCACUUCUGAUUGGCGCUCAUGUUCCUCGCUAUCACUGGGAUGAUGCUAUUGUCACCGCAGUUCACCUGAUCAACCGCAUGCCUUCUGGUGUAUUGACCUUUAAAACUCCCUUACAGGUGCUUGCGCAACACAGACCUCUGCUCUCUGUUUUGGUACUCACACCCCGAAUCUUUGGAUGUGUGGCUUUCGUUCAUCUCCACAAAAAUCAACGUAGCAAACUUGAUCCCUGUGCGCUUCGUUGUGUUUUUAUAGGUUAUGCCACUCAUCAGAAAGGCUACCGUUGUUAUCACCCUCCUACCCAACGAACCUAUGUCACUUUGGAUGUGACCUUUCUGGAAUCUGAGUUGUUCUUCCAUGACCCAUCAUCCAAUUCUACGCAUCAGGGGGGGAUACGAAGUGAAGAGCAGAAUUGAAGCAACUUGGGAAAUAAAGAAAUUUUCCUCUGUACAGAAAUGAUUAAUCAUCCUGAGUCUGGAGCACGAGAUUACUCUCUGUCGAAAAGCAACCAAUCGCCCAUUCAUAGCGAUCAAUUGCCUCACCUACCUGAUCCAUGUGAAGAUAUUUUUGAUCCGAGUCUCACACCUACAGACAAUACAGAACAACAAGAUGAAGACUCCCCCUCUAACUCAACAGUACCAACAGACCAAUCUCCUGAGAAUAUCCUUGAGGUAACUACUCCUACUAGAUUUGUGCAUUUAAAUGAUUAAACUAUUGGAUAUCAAUUACCUUUCAGGGAAAAUCGUGGGAAGCCAUCAAACCGUUAUGCACCUGAUAUUGGCAAGACAUCCAAGUAUCCAAUUGCAAAUCAUGUAUCCACUGAGAAGCUGUCUGAACAACUCAAGGCUUUUGUGCAUCAGUUGUCUGCGAUCCAUAUUCCAACCAAGGUCUCUGAAGCAUUAAAAUAUCCUAAGUGGGUCCAAGCUAUAAAAGAGGAGAUGAAAGCUCUUGAGAAAAAUCAGACUUGGACAUUAGAGACUAUACCUCGAGGAAAAAAGACUAUCAGAUGUAGAUGGGUGUUUACUAUAAAACACAAUGUAGAUGGAUCUAUCGAGCAAUACAAGGCAAGACUUGUGGAAAAAGGGUACACACAGACAUAUGGUAUAGACUAUGAAGAAACCUUUGCUCCAGUUGCAAAGUCAAACACCAUCAGAGUCUUAUUGUCCCUUGCAGCUAAUUUGGAUUGGCCACUACACCAGUUUGAUGUAAAGAAUGCUUUUCUACAUGGCGUACUCACGGAGGAGGUGUACAUUUACAUUCCUCCUGGAUAUAAUACUACUUAGACUGGAACAGUUUGCAGGUUACGAAAAGCAUUGUAUGGAUUGAAACAGUCACCACGUGCAUGGUUUGGACAGUUCACCAUGGCAAUGAAGAACAAUGGUUCAAACAGUGCAACUCAGAUCAUACUCUACUCUUGAAACAUCGAAAAGGGAAGGUAACAACAUUAAUAAUCUAUGUUGAUGAUAUGAUUAUUACUGGGAAUGAUAAACAGGAAAUAUCACAGCUACAAGACUAUCUGGCUACGGAGUUUGAGAUGAUGGAUCUAGGUGGACUCAAGUAUUUCUUGGGAAUUGAGGUGGCUCGAUCCCAGCAAGGCAUAUUUCUCUCUCAAAGGAAAUAUGUCUUGGACUUGUUGACAGACACAUGAAUGCUAGAUUGUAAACCUGCGAACACUCAUAUUGUUCAGAAUCAUCAUCUUGGAGAAUAUCAUGAUCAAGUUCCAACUAACAAAGAAAGAUACCAAAGGUUAGUAGGAAGAUUGAUCUAUUUGUCACAUACUUGACCAAACAUUACUUAUGCAAUGAGCGUUGUCAGUCAAUUUAUGCACUCUCCAAGUGAAGACCACACGAAUGCAGUUCUUCGGAUACUUAGAUAUUUGAAGUCUGCACCUGAAAAAGGACUUAUUUUCUGAAAGCAUGGUCAUAUAAAUAUUGAUGGUUAUUCAGAUGUAAUGUAACAGAUAGAAAAUCCACAUCCGGUUACUUAACAUUCAUGGGAGGUAAUUUGGUGACAUGGAGGAGCAAGAAACAGAAUGUAGUAGCUUUAUCCAGUGCAGAAGCCGAGUUCAGAGGCAUGACUAAAGGAAUUUGUGAACUUCUUUGGUUAAGAAAGUUGCUUACUGAACUUGGGUAUAAACCUACAUCCACAAUGAUUCUCUUUUGUGACAACAAGGCUGUUAUAGCCAUUGCACAGAAUCCGGUUCAGCAUGAUCGUACUAAACAUGUUGAGGAGGAUCGACACUUCAUCAAACAGAAGCUUGAGGCUAAAAUGUUUCAGUUUUCUUUUGUGAAAUCCGAGGAUCAAUUGGCGGAUAUUUUGACAAAGGUGAUUUCCAGUAAAACAUUCCACAAUUCACUGGAUCAGUUAGGCAUUGGCGAUAUCUAUGCACCAACGUGAGGGGAAGUGUUGGCGUGACUUGUGGAUAUUGACUUACUUUCCUUACACACCAAGAAUUCCUAUUAUAAUUGUAAUUGAUUUACUUUAAUUCCUGAUUUCCUAUUGUAAAUAGAUUUAGGAAUUUAUUAUUUACUUGCCCAUUCAGGUUUCGUUGUAUUAUAAAUAUGACCUCCUACAAGGAGAAUAACAUACAGAAAAUUCCCACAAACAAAUAUUCUCUUAUAGUUUUCAUAUUUUAGCAAGAACUACUCGAGAGUUUACUAAAAGAGUAGUUCAGUAUUCAUCCACAAGCUAUAUACACAAUACACUCUAUAGAUAUGCCAAAAUCAUCGCAAGCUCUAGAUUUUAGGUUCGAUACCUGCAAAAUCUAUUAGAAGGGUGAGUGAAACCACAGUUUAGUAGGGACAUAAACCUUUUCACGGUAAACUGAUAUAAUUAAAUUAAGUGAAAAAUAAUCACACAGCCAAAUAUCACAUUAUUAAUAACAAUGCAUGAAUGCUCUUCAUUUAACCCGUUAAUUCAUAUAAUUAGACAAGCUUCACGACCCAUACCAUGCUUAUACCACUUAGUCCCGAAUGCCAAUUUAUAUGAAUUAACGCCCAUUUCAAUCAUCCCAUAAUUCCCAUUUUGUUAGUCAUCUUGUCUAACUCCCUGUUGCCAGUCCUGAAUCACCAAAAAAAAAAAACCAUGUGCACUAUGGGAUCCCUGAGUACUAGUACCUGGCAAGAGUUAGACUCAACUACACAAAAGAUCAUUUCUAUUACCCUCUUAUCCACCAUUAUUUUCUCAACUUCAGAAUUCUAGCCAAAUUCCAUGACAUGAUAUAAUUAAAAUUAUGCCUUCACAACAAUGUGCCCAUUUAAAACAUCACUAAUGCACAUAUAAUUAUGCCCACAUUGUUCAAAUAGUUAAGAGUACGUAAAUACCCAAUACAUGGAACGUCAAUCAAACAGUACCACGCAUAAUAUAAUGCUCAAGAAAUUUAAUUAAAUCAAUCUCUGUAAAAGGCCCCUAAGAAACCCCUGCCUUGAUACUAAAGCUUUUGCUAGACCUAUAAGGUGUUUUCCAAUUUUCCACCGCAUUCACAAACUCUGUCUUCUACUUUUUUUCUUACUUCUCUCUACCACUAUUUCUUUCUCGUUUUCUUUGUUUUCACUUGUUGUGCAACUUAAUGUCCUAUAUAUAUACAAGGAACAAGUCGGCAGUAAGUGAUUUCCUAUUGGAUGGUGUAUUCGGUUGUUAUAAACUUACUAGUAAUAGUUAUCAAUGUAGUUGCAGAUGAGGAAGAAUGUUUUUGUGACUCUUCCAAUCCCUCUAAUCCUAUUUCUUAUCUUCUUGGUGAGUUGAUAGCCUCGAUACUUAACAGAUUUUAUACUUUGACACGUAUUAACAAGAACUAUUUUAAAAACAUAUACAUAUAUAUAUAUAUAAUAGAAUAUGUAUAUAUGUAAUACACAUAUUUAUAUAUAAUAAGAAUAAUAUAUAUGUAAUAAGAUAUAAAUAUUUAUUAGAACAGUAUAUAAAAUAAUAUAUAUCAUUCUUAUUAUAACAAUAAUUUUAAUUUUCCCAAAAUAAUAUAUAUUUAAAAAUAUGUGGUUUCACAUGCAUGUCCUUUUUGCUAUAGACACUAUUACAAAAAUCGAAAUAGACAACGGAAAACUACCGUCGUCUGGAAAGUUUUCAAACAGUCGUGAAAUCGACUGUCGUCUCUUUUACAUAAAACAACGACGGCUAUUAACCAACGUCGUUAAUACAUUCCACGUAAAAAACUAUUAUAAACCGACGUGUAAUUACUAUAUAUAUAGCCUAAAAUAAAAUCUUCAACAACCUUAGACGACGGUUUUAUUAAAACUGACACGUCUAAAGAGUGUUACAUGUCAAGAUCAAAACAAGAACCGACGUACAGAUAAUUAUCCACGUCCUAAUUGAAGUAAAAUAGACUUGGAUAACCUAGAAACCGUCGUGGUUAACAUAUACUACGUUAAAUUAACAAAGGCACUUACGUCUAAAAAGUAAAAGACAACACGCGCACAAAGCAACAGACGUUUAAAGCUUAGUACAUGUCAAUAGCCGCUCAAUAACCGCAGUAAAAUGAAUUAACCACGUCCCACAUAUGGCAGAACUGUUGCUUAUGUGAUUAUCCACGUCGCGGAGUAGUAGAACAAAGACGUUGUAACCAUAUUCCACGUCUGUUUCUUGUGAGAAUUGUCGUUUAAAUUAUACAAAGAAGCCCCUUUGACAGAGUUAGACGUUGCUCUUGCUGUAGAACCGACUUCUAACAGGUUUAAAAUGACACAAUAUUACUUAAUACUGCCGUAACAAAUCAUAUCCACGACUGCUGUUGUCAAAGACUGACGUUACAAAAAAUAUUGAAGGUGUUGACAAAAAAGAACCGACAUGGAUUAUGCAUUCAACGUCGUGUGGUCUAAAAAUAAAGGACGUGGUUAAUUUUUUCUCUACGUCAAGUGGAUCCAAUUGCCUGAUGUUGUAAUUCUUUACCAUGUUGGUUUUUAAUACAUGAUGAUGUGGUUGUCCUUUUAAAAGUCGCUUGUUUUACCCUCCUUGACGUGUGUAUGAUAUGAGACGUCAAUUGUUUUAGACUAGCUGACGUGCAGAAAAUCUGUCACGACAAUUAAUGCAACUGAAUUGCCUCUAUUUCCCCCAGACGACGGUAGGUUUUAAGUGUGGAAGUAGUGUUUUACAAAAUCGUAAGUUGGAGUAAUCUACCAUCGUGUUAUUCGAGAAUAUACCACGAUCUUUGUUUUGUACUCGGUCGCUGAUGUUUAUACUACUUAAUAAACUGACAUGUUUUCAGUUUCAGACGGCGGCUUUUGUUUCUUUAUGGUCUUUUGCAUUUUUUUUCCAUGACAUUUUUGAAAGCCUAAUGUUGGUUUUAUUUUAGAAAUCGAUUUUUCCCCUUUUUUUACUGGACCGUCGUACUUUACACAUUUAAUCAAUUUUUUUCAAUUUUUGAUUCAUCGUGCCCAAAGCCUACAUAACGAAAAUGUGAUCAGAAUUAAAAUGAUGUACAAAGGUAUUAAUUAAUGUCAUACAAUUAACUGAAUAACUAAUGUCAUACACUACAACAAUCAAUCAAUCCAUAUAUCUUCACACCCAUCUUUAAUAUUUUCACUCCCAAACUCACCCACUAGGUCAUCAUAUGUGUCAACAUUUGGUAUCCCUCUAGUAAAUGUCUCACACUCAAUUCUAAUAUCACCUAGCACAUCAUCACCAAUAACAUUAUUAUAUUCUCUAUUAUGCAUUGAUAACACUACCGACCAACCACGAUGCAUUGGGUCGUCAGCAUAAAAUACUUGUUUUGGUCAUUCCUAUGUCCAAUUUUACUCAAAUCUACAAAGGUGAAUCCAAGUUCAUCGACAACAAGGCCCAAAGUGUUAUCUAUCCAAUCACACCUCAAGACAAGGAUUCUAAACUUUUGGUAGUCAAGGUCCCAAAUUUCUUGAAUAACACCAUAAAAACCCAUAUUGGAGACAAUAGAGUUUUUAUCCUUAGCACUAGCAACUUGCAUAGUAUGUGCAAGUAAAUAAACUCCACUAUUUUGGACAGUUCGCAUAUCAUCUUGUGCCUUGGUGUUAAAUUUAACACCAUUAAUAAGAUAGCUCCUAUAUGAUGGCAUUGCCAUGCUUGGACUAGCUGCUAGCCACCUCAAAUUUUAUGAUACGCCAUUAUGCUCUUCCCCAUUAAGUUCACUUUGAACUUGCAAAUUAAUCGUAUAUAUCCUAAUUCGAUCUAACAUAUAAAAAGGAAGAAAAUUAAAAGUUGAAUAUGUCAUUCAAUAACAUAUAUACUUGAAAGUGUAGCCAUUGAAUGAAAGUGCUAUUGUGCUUAUCUUGCAGCCACUUUGUUCUCUUUCUAAAUAUUGGAUAAGUGGUCUUGAUGUGGAUCAUAUGUUCCAUACAUUGACACGAAAAAAUCAAGCAUUACGGUCCCUUGUAUAUAAGAUAACAUAAGGAAUAAUAAUAUUUAAAAUGGCUCUAUAUGAAAAAUGGAACUCAUGCGUACUCGAUAUAAGGUAGGACUUCCUCAGUAUUCUCCAAGACAUAUAGAUGUGUCUGGUUCAAAAAACCCGAUCACCUAAGCUUACUGUGCAACCAGAUAAUGGCUUUGAAACUCCCAUCUUCUAGCUUGAAGGCACUCCAACUGUACUAACAUCAGAUAAAUGCUCGGUGCAAAACUCUACAACUUCUUCAGCUAUAUACCGCUCAAUAAUGCAACAUCCGGGACGAGUACGGUUCUGAACAAACCUAUUUAGCACUUUCAUAUGUCUUUCAAAUGGAUACAUCCAUCUAAAAUAUACUGGCCCAUGUAGACGAACUUCUCUGACAAGAUGUACUACUAGAUGAACCAUGAUAUCAAAGAAUGAAGGGGGAAAGUACUUCUCAAGCAAACGCAACGUAACUACUACAUCUUCUUCCAAAUUAUCUAGCUUGGAAACAUCUACUGUCUUUGCACAUAUAGCAUUGAAGAAGAAGCACAAUCGAGUUAUUGCAUACCUUGCAGGCUUCUCCAAACAGAACGAAUUGCCACAGGGAGCAAUUGUUGCAUCAAGGCAUGAAAAUUAUGAGAUUUAAGGCCAAGAAGUCUUGAAUAUUUUUAAGAUACAAGAUUUUUUUAUAUUUGAACAAUAACCUUCAGGGACUUUCAUACCAUAGAAAGAAUUGCAAACCGCUCUCUUAUCUGCUCUUGACAAAUUCUAGGGCCUUGGAGGCAAGCGAGUACGUCUUUCUCAAUACUCGGGUUGCAAAUCAUUUUUGACCCCCAUGUUCAAUAAAUCUAACCGAACAGCAAUCUCAUCUUUAUUUUUUCUAGGGAUCUCCAGCAAUGUACCAAUGAUACUAUCGCAAACAUUCUUCUCAAUAUGCAUAACAUCUUGGACAUGCCUCAUAGGAAGGUAUUUCAAAUACUCGAGAUCAAAGAAUUUUGAUUUCUUAUUCCAACAAACUCUGUCACCAUCAUUCUCAAAAACACUUCCCCCAUUUUUCGAGCCCCAUAUGUAAUUAAUAUCUUCAACCAUGUCCUAUUCAAGUUAAUGGUUCGGGAGGCGUGCCAUAUUCAAGUUUUCCAUUGAAAGCUGCACGCUACCUCCGACAUGGAUGAUUGAUUGGUAACCAUUUUUUAUGACCAAUGUAACAAAUUUUGGGGCCAUUUUCAACCUGUGACUAGGUGUAUCAUCGCCGCAUAUUGGACAAGCUUUAUAUCCUUUAACGACACUGUAACACCCCGACUCUAAAUUAAUCCCUUAUUUAAUUAUUUAAAGAAAAUUACAAAUUUACCCUUAAGAUAGGGGUAUUUUGGUCAUUUUCUUACCCGAAGAGAGUUUGGGGCAGUGACUAGUAUUUUUGGAUAGGUCGUACUGAGACGAGUUCAUAGACACGUAGUGGGCUCGAAUCGAAGUUGUAACGAGAGAGAUAUGGUCAAAAGAAACCCAAUUGCACAAUCAUAAUUAUUUCGAAAUGAGAUUUUUAUAAAAAUCAGAUUUUUUUUUCUCUCUCUCUCUCUCUCCUCGUCGGUCUCUCUCCCUCUCCUCGAAACUCCGGCCAUCGGCCACGGCUGUGGACGGGGCCGGUACCAAAAUGACCGAGGCGUUGUCCUCCUCUAAUCCCAGCUAGGUCCCGCCGUCAGCCGCCAUGGUUUCGCCGGAAAAUGGAGAAGAAGCGGCCGGCGUCGUCCGAAGUUCUCCGCCGUUGAUCUCCCUCUUCCGGUCACCGAUUCCGACGAGUGAGGUAUGGUUUCUCACCUACUUUUCAUGCUCUAGCUGCCUGCUGGGUAUGAUUGGAUUGAUUUUUAGCGUAGGCAAUUCGAUUUUCGCAUUGAAAUUCGGCUAAUUUUGGAAUCACGAUUCCGGCUAGUUCUGGUCAGUUUUUGGGGUAGAUCCAAGAACAAAAGUGGCUCCAAAUAGGGUGUUAUACCUAGGGUAGGAGUUUGGAGCCAUGGUUUUGAGAUUUUCCGGCGAUACGUAAUCGCUUUAGACACCCAACGCUGCCCGCACGUGUGGCAGUGCGUGGGCGAGGGUAGUGAAAUAGCACUAUGUCUCGAUGAGAUCCUUAGGUUGUCACGAGUGCGUAGGAUUUCGCGGAUCUCAAUUCGGACGUCGUUUGACUAUCGAACGGAUUUUCGUAUAUUGCGCGUCAUCCGGGUUCGAUAGGUUGGGACCGUUGGAUGGUCUCGAAUAAAAUAUAUGUUAAUCUAGGUAUUUCUAGGAUCAUGUAGGAAUUCACGGAUUAUAAAUCGGAGCCCCGGAUAUUCCGAAUAAAUAAUUUAAAGUUUAUGUUUUAUAAUAACCGUCACAUCGUGCGAUCGUGAGCGAUCCGACCGGCCGAUCUGGACCAAACUUACAGAACGAGUGUCCUAUACCUUGAAGAACCCAUAGGAAUUUUCAGAUCGAAAUUUGGAGGUCGUGGGCCCCGUGGGCCCAUUUGACUAGGGGUAGGGUAGUUUGACCCUUAGUUGACCGUGAGUCUCCCGGAGUAAUCUCACCUUUCCAGGGGGAUUAUCGGGUGCUAGACUGUUGUUGAGGUUUACACGAUAUUAGUAGUAAAUUAUAUAUUUAUAUACAUUUGUAAAGGUAAAAAAUAAGUCCAGAAUGUCAGUUUGAAGUGCUUUACGCACUACCUUAGGUACCUCCCCGGAUUUUAGUUACACUACAAGUACCACCCUAUGAAAGUUAGGUCCCACGUGGCGUAGGUUAUCCGGCGUGCGGACAGGCCCUAUACGUGGCAUUGGUAGUAUCGGUGUAUGGGGAGAUUACGUGAUAAUAUGUUGAGGUCACACGUGGCGUAGGUUAUCCGGCGUGUUGACAGACCCCAUACGUGGCGUUGGUUGUACCGGCGUAUGAGGAGAUAUUGUGAUAUGAUAUUCAGGUCUCGCGUGGCGUAGGUUAUCCAGCGUUGAGACAGACCCCAUACGUGGCGUUGGUUCUACCGGCGUAUAAGGAGUUUAUGUGAUAUUAUGUUGAAGUCGCGCGUGGCGUAGGUUAUCCGGUGUGUCGACAGACCCCAUACGUGGUGUUGGUUGUACCGGCGUAUGGGGAGAUAUGUGAUAUGAUGUGCAGGUCUCGCGUGGCGUAGGUUAUCCGGCGUUGAGACAGACCCCAUAUGUGGCGUUAGUUGUACCGGCGUAUGGGAAGAUAUUGUGAUAUGAUAUUCAGGUCUCGGGUGGCGUAGGUUAUCCGGCGUGUUGACAGGCCCCAUACGUGGCGUUGGUAGUACCGGUAUAUGGGGAGAUUAUGUGAAAUACAGAGAAAUGAAAUAAGGUAUUGCCUAUGUGUGGAAUUGGGUUUUAAGGAAGAACUACGUGUGGCUUGAUCCCUCAGGGAGGGUACGUAGGCAGCCUAAGGUUAUUAGGUGUAGCCGCGGACAUAGACGUGAUUGUGUUAGGAGGUUAAAACCUCGUAUGUUGAAAUUGAGAAAAUUAGAUGAUGUAUGUUGAAAUUUAGUAGUCGUAAUUUAUAUUUAAAUUUAUCGUUUGCCUUGUUUAAGGCAUGAAUUGAUUUGCUAGCAUGCUUGGUAGUUGAGAAUUAUAGAAAGGCCGAAGGCCGUUUAUGUGAAUUGCAUGGAAUUAUAUUGUGCAUGCUGCCAGUUGUAGUUAUUAAAUGUGUUUUUAUGCAGGUUGAAAUUUUGGGAAAUGUCCAAUUUACAGGGGAGACUCUGCCGAAAUUUCGGCAGAAAGUCUCGGUCUUUAGUAAGUGGGCCUGACAUCGAGGUGAUGUCGGGGAAUCCACAGGAUCCGCCUCGAUUUUUGGAAAAAUCGGGGCGGUUCCUUUCAGACACAACCAGAUAAGUUCUCAUAGGCAGAAAAAUCAUUAAUUGUUCACAGUAAUACACCUAUGAGUGUAAAGUAAUCUCCUAUGUGUGCAUCAUACACUCCUUUAAUCCCAUCCCACAAAGAUUUUAAAUCAUCAAUCAGAGGCUCUAAGUAGACAUCUAUAUCAUUUCCAUUCUAUUUAGGACCAGAAAUCAAUAAGGUCAAUAUCAUGAACUUCCAUUUCAUGCAUAGCCAUGGUGGGAGAUUAUAUGUAACUAAGAUAACCAACAAUUGUAUCUGCUACUUAAAGAACUGUGGGGAUUGAAUCCAUCAGAUGAGAGAGCCAAUCUCAAGUUUCUUGGCUCUUUACUGAACUCGGGCCAUUUAUCAUCAACAAGUUUUUAAGACGGGAAAUUCGCUGGAUGAGACAUAUGACCGUCAAUUGCUUUUCUAGCAACAUGCCAAGUCAAACUCUUAGCUGUCAUAUGUGAUUGAAACAUCCUUUUAAACCUUGGAAUUGGAGGAAAAUACCACACCACCUUCGCUGGCACACUCUUUUUCAAGAUUGAAUCUUUGCAUUCCUUCCACCUUGAGAUACCACAAGUAGGACAAUUAGUUGAAUCUUCAUAAUCAUUCCUAUACAAGAUGCAGUCAUUGGGACAUGCAUGGAUAUUCUCAUAACUCAUCCCUAAAGGAGAUAAUGUCUUUUUUGCCUCGUACAUAGAGGAAUAUAGUGUCUUUCCUUCUGGAAGCAAAUCUCCUUGAAGUAUCAAUAAUUCUAUAAAACAAACAUCACUCAUCCCAUGUUUUGCUUUCAAAUUAUAUAACUUCACCAAAGCCGACAACAUCGUGUACUUACUGCAACCAGGGUACAAGGAUUGAUCUCAAUCCCCAAUCACAUUGGCAAACUCAUAAGGAUCAAAUCCAAUAUCGCCUAAAUCAUUAUCAUCCAUCCCUACUUCUUUAGAAACAAAACUGAACCUACUUUGCUCAUCUUCUUCCACAUUUCUACUAGCAUUAGUAGUCAAUUCCCAAGGUUCUCCGUGCCAUGUGCAAAUCUGAUAGCUUUAGUCAAUUCCAUUAAAGUAUAAGUGGUCCCUCAUAAUUCCAACCCCAAACAAUCGAAUAUUCCCACAUUUAACACAUGGACAACGAAUAUGAGUUGUAUUUCCAAGAUUUUCUACAGCAAAAUUCAAAAAUCCUUCCACCCCUAACUCAUAUGCCUUCGGUCUUCUAUCCGCAUGCAUCCAUGACUUAUCCAUCUCACACACUAUAAAAUCAUAUAUAUAAUAAAGUGAAAAGACCAGCAAUGAAACACUACUUUAUUCACAUAGCAAAGAAUGAAUUGAAAAAAAAAAUUAACCAAGAAUCAGACGACGGUUUUUACAAAAAAAAUCGUCCUGUAACAGAGGGUCAGACGACGGCAUAUCUAGUUAUCGACGUCUUUAAGCUACCCAAACCCAGAUAUUUGUAUUGCUUUUUGAAGAACCGGGUUCUGGGUUCUGGUAAACAAAAGAUGACGGUAAAUGGAGAAACACCGACGUAUCCUAAAACUUGAGACGACGGUUUAUUUCACCAACCGUCGUCGUAGUUUACGAAAAACAGAAGUCUAAAUCUCCCAUCCUCAUUCCUUUUCUAAGAACCCUUAACAAAAUGCAAACAUCAAAAUAUAAAAGAGCCAUAUAUAGCUCCCAAUUAAGAAACCAAAGCUACCAAAACAUAUAUUAAUAAACCAAAGCUACCAAAAUGAACGAAAACAUUUAUGGGUUUUACAAACUAAGAGAAUAUUGAGAGAGAGCUGAGAGAAUAUACUUACAUGGAUAUUGAGAGAGAGCUGAGAGAAUAUAACAAAUGCUUGAGAGAGAGCUUAGAGAAUAUACACAAUGCUUUGAGAGAGAGCGAAAAAUUUAAGACAAAUUUAUGUUGAAGAGAGAGAAGGAAAUAUUUUAGGGUUAAAGGGAAAUUCUGAAAAUUUUAGAUCACCGUCAAAAUUUUCAAAGGACCGCGUUUUUCAAAGACGGCUAAGGAAAACUACCGCCAUUGUAAAUCAUUUUACUACGACGGUUGAGGAAAACUACCGCCAUUGUAAAUCAUUUUUAUGUCGCCUCUAUAAAAACCGACGUCUAAAAUAUUAAAUAAUUAGAUUUGGUUUGCAUUUCGUGGGAUUCUAACGUGCGUAAUUGACCAAAAAGAGCGAGAGAAAACCAGCGUCGUUUCUAUAAAACCUAAACCCUAAACCCUAAACCCUAAACUCUAAAACCUAAACACUGAAAAAAUUAACCAAAAAUUGCUAUGGACUCCUUACAACAAUGCCUUCUAUAUUAGUAGGCUAAAAUCGGGAUUAAAUAAUUUUGAAUUUUAUGACCACCAAUGGAUCACAUAAACCUUAGGGUUAUGUUUAUGGAAAGUAUAAGGAUUAUUGUGUUUUGUCUCUAAAUCUUUUUUACUUUUGUUAUCACUUGUAACUUUGAAAUCUAAAAUUAAAAUUUUCAGGCCUUUAGGGGGGAGAUAUUGUCUCAAUGUGUUUAUAGAAUUUGAGACUGCGAAGGUUCUAGCUGAUUGACUAAGGAUGAGGCAGGAUGGAUGGAAGGUUUGCUUGGAGAUUCUACCUUUGUCAGCUCUUCUGGUUGACAUGUUGUUUAUUCUGCCUGAGGAACUACUUCUAGAUUUUUCCCUUUUCUAGCAGAACUAGUCUCUGGAAGUACUUGUGUGUCAUCCUUAUUCUUGAGGAAGACGCAGUAUUGCCUUUGAACUCUCCUCUUUUGCAUUCUGGUUAGCUUCAGAGUUGGUCUUCGGCUUUUUCCAAUAGAAUAUCAUCUACCUUCUAUGAUAGUUGCAAAGGGCUUGUCAUUUCCAGGCAUCUUAACUGGUAUUUCCUUCUUUGGCUGCUCUAUUAUUCUCUUGUUGCGUUGGGCAGGCCUUAAAUAGUCCUUCUGUCUGGCUCUAUCUCUAGGUGGAGCCGGAACUAGGCCUUGUUGGUAUGAUGUUCCAAUCCUGUCAAAAACACAAGGUGUGGGCUGACUUUGCCUAACCAGAGUUACCUCUAACUCACUUUCACAUUUGCACCUGUUGCACAAAACUACCCCAGCCGAAAUGGUUGCUUUUGGUCUUCAAUUAGCCUAUCUUUGGACUCUUCUGCCUAUGCUGGGGCUAACUUUUGCUGUUAGUUUGCCUUUCUUUUGUUUUGGCCAAUUUAAGUUGACCAUGUUGACUUGAGGUUGGGGAAAAGGGUCUGUUGUUAUCGAAUGAGGUUUCUCAGCCAGUUUUAGCCUCCAUGCUGUUAUUCCUUCCUGUAUGACGUCCCUGAAAACAACACAACUAUUGGUGGAAUGGUCCCAGGAGUUAUGCCAUCUGCAAUACUGUCUGCCCUUGAGUUCCUCUAGCUUGGGCAACUUGUAGGGUGUUUCUAUUGCCUUCUGUCGCAGCAUGUCAUCAAACAGGGCAUCAACCUUGGUUAAAUCGAGGGAAUAGACUUUGUUAUGAGCUGGUUUGUUUGGAACAAACCCUCUUGUGAAUGGUGGUGGCUUUUGGUCCUUUGGUGGCUUUGUUAAAGCCUUGCAACUGAUGAGAUGUUUUAAUUUCCCCAUUUCUGCCACUGCAACUUCUCUCUCCUCCGAGCUUUCUAUGCCUUCUUCUGAUUCUACCUCAACAAGAUUUACUGAAGAGGAUGGGGUUUUGUAAUAUGUGCCUUUGAAAGAGUUCCUCUUCUAUUGUUCUUCCCUGAGCAGCUCCUUGUAUUUAGAUGCUUUGUCUGCUAGUUCUGCCAGAUCUCCAAACAGCAUCCCAUCAAAUUUUUUUCUCAGAGAGAUUUUAAGGGAGAUUUGAGCCAUUUGGAUGAAGUGCCCUUCCUCCAUAGGGAUUCAAAAUUUCAUUUUGAGCUUUUUGAACCUGGUUAUGAAGUCUUGGGCAGGCUCAUCUUCCCUCUAUUUCCAGGUUUGAGGGCAGCAAGAUCACUGAUGGUGACUUCUGGCUGAAUCCUAAAAUAGUAGUCAUGGAAGACAUUUUCCAUCUAUUUCCAGGUUUGAACAGAAUUGGCUGGUAAGCUAGUAUAUUAGAUGAAGGCUUGUCCAGAGAGAGAAUUUCGAAAAAGCCUUAGUUUUAACAGAAGGUUAUUUUCUAUGGCUAUGCACUGGAAAGAGAAUCUGCCUAUAUGCUUAACUGAUGAAGCAUGGGUGUCUUCUCCGUUGAACAAGGUGAAGUGUGGUACCUUAAAGCCCAGGGAUAGAGGUAUUUGAUCGAUAUAAGCUGGAUAAGGCUUUCUGUAGGUGGGCCUUUCUCCUCUUCUGGCCUCAGGUUCCAUCAUCUCUCUGAUCAUUCUAUAAAGUGCCCCCAUGUCAUUCAAAGCAUUGACAUGAUGCGGGGUUCGCCCCUGUUCUGGCUAGUUGUGUUCAAUCCUUUGUUCUACUUUAUAUGGCCUGGGCAGAACUUCCUCCCUAUGCUCUUCCUCUUUUUCGAAAUCUGGAUGAUUCCUUUAGUUUGCCCCCGGUCUGUUUUUGUCAUUGUUGGCAAAGGGUUUAACUCCUACUCUACCUCUCAUGCCACUUGCUAGUGGAGGGAAUGGAUUGGGGUCCAUCCUUCUAGGUCUGUAGGGCAACACAACUGGUUGCUCAGGCAGAAGUGCCAAGGCCUGAUCACGUGGGGCCACUAGUUGUGGAAUAGGUGGAGGUUCUGGCUAGUUCUGAGGGGGUCUGAACUGGUGCAGAGCCUUCUGGAUGAACUGAAUCCUCAUGUUCUUGGAUGGGAAGGGCUCCUCCCCUCUGUCCAGCUUGGAUUUCUCCAUGUCCUGGUAUUCCAGCUAUCUGUGUGAUGAGAGGCUUCUCUUCAUAUGGCCAUGCCAGUCCUGGUAGAGGUCCAAAAGGGAGAUCUAGCUGCUGGACCACCAUGUCUAGGUUUGGAAUUUUGGCAAUAGUAGCCUCACGGUCCUUCCUGAACUGCCUGUUGACUUGCCAUUACAUCAUGGUUGUCAUGUUGUUUAGAGUAUCUUGGCUCAUUUGUGCUGUGGCUUCUUGCCGAAACACAGCCUCCUGUAUCUAGUUUAACCUUCUGGAACCAGACAUGGAACGUCUACUCGUGGUACUGCCAUGGGCUGAUUACCUAGCAUCACUUUCUUUUGACUCAAGUCCUUUUCGGAGAGCUGCUUGAUCUCUUUUCAUGGCAUAGCGUGGAUUCUGGCUAGAACUUCCAAUAUUCAUAUACUAGAGGAUUUUUCUAGAAAUAUAUGUAUUGAGAAGUCCCACUGGGCGUGCCAAAUUGUUCAUCCGUUUUAGAUUUGUUCCUGUGAUGGUAGGGUAAAGUUCCUCAUUGACUUGAAAACCAUUGGUGGUCAAUAAGUCAACUUUCUUUUGUGUACAAAUGUGCCACUGCUAGCAAUAAAAACCCUAGCAGACUUCUUAAAAAUAGAAAACUUGUGCCCAAGUUAUUAACUUCUAAAUAAGCGAUUGUGAAUUUGGGCGAGGAAUAUCUCCCAAGUAAGUUCUUUUCUUUGCCUCAGAUUGGUGAGGACUUCACAAUUUUUCACAGUACAAAACUGGUAGUUCUAGCUAGAAUAAAUGAUAAGAAAGUGAACUGUUUUCAGGCAGAACUACCUUUUACAAAGCUUAAAAAGGAAGACCAACUCUAAAAAGACAAAAAGAGCUUUUGGACUUCAAUUUCUGCUUGGAUAAAUGCUUCUGAUCCGGGCUGGACUGGGUAUGUUUGUGCUGGACUGGACUAUCAACACCUUCAACUGUCAAGUUUUAGCUGUCAAUGAAUACCAAUGUUCGAGUGUGGCAAAGCUUCAAUCUAUUUCAAGCCGUGCAAGGCUUUUUGAACGGACAGAAUUGGAACCUCUUCAGUCUGGAAGGGGUAGAAGUGGCUGAAUUUGGUGAUUACUGAGCUGGAACUGCACUGUAGUACCUGUUCUGCUUGAUCAGGGCUCUCCAUAAAUUUGUUGAGGUUUUAAUAUUGGUAAAACCCGAAGCUUAUGUUGAACCAACUUUGUAACGAGAGAAAUCUUGCUUUGAAUGACUAUUUCUCUGAAACUAAACAGAAGUUAGAGAUUCUGGAAUAUAGCUGACUUGUUUCUUAUGGCUCAAUGAGCUUUUGGUUGCUUCAGUGUUUUGAAGGCUUUUGAGAUCAAGUGAUCAUUUUGAGUUUUUAUUUUUGAUUGAUUUUUUGGCUGUCCUUUUAUCUGUUCACCUCAUCUCAUAUUUAUAGAAUAUACUGGAGUGUGAUUUCUAAUCUUUUAAUAAUGGGCGGCAAAUCUUUUAAAAGAUCUUUUUUUCUUUUUUCAAUGUCAUAAGAGAAGGAAGCUACUAUUCUGACAGAGAAAGGUUGUCAACAAUCAUCUUUCAAUUUUUCUAUGUUCACUUUUUGUUCUUUGUAAAGAGAAAGAACACAAUCUACCAUGAUGGUCAGUGUGCUUUUCCUGUUGAACAACUCCCUCGUUCUCUACUUAUCUCUUGAAAACGUAGUCUGCUUAUCUCUUGGAAAGACCACCUGAUUUGGUGCAGAGCUUCUCUAUAUAUAUAUAUAUAUAAAGGGAUUUUGAUCUUCUUCUUUUGGCUGAAAAAAUAGAGAAGUCUUUCUGUAAGACCUGCCUUCAUUAAUUUUCUAUCAACUUCUCUGUAAUAGUUGAAAAUUUUGACUUUUCAAAGCCAGGUAUUCACGUGGGGUUGUUUAGAAAAGAUCUGUUGAUUUUGUCAAUCUUUUAGGGUAGAGAUUAAAUAGCGUAAAAAGGCUGGGCUAGUCUCUUUUUCUUAGUAGAUAAAAAGCCCAAAUAUUUUGUCUCACUGCCCUUUUCUGGAAAAUAAAUGGGCUGGGUGUGUUGGAAAUUGGCCCAAUCUUAAGAAAGACUCUGGUGGCUGCCCAAAAUUGACAUAGGCUUUUCUUGAUUUUGGGCUGGGCAUGCCAAAUUAGGCCCAAACAAUGCCCCUUAAGUCUGAAUUGUUUUUGGAAUAGUUUCAGACUUAAUGAUUUGGCCAUUAAUUUGUGCGCGCCAUUUCCUUCUGUUAGCCCACAUCUGCCACGUCUGCCUAUUAUGAUCAAGACUUCGUGGGAAAGUGGGCAGUUACUAGCUAGUUAUUAUCAGGUGGCGUCUUGUCUUCUUCUUCCCACGAUUUCGAGUCUUUCUAAGAAAUUUAAAAAGACCUCAGCUCCUGUUUACUCAAAACCUAACUUCUUCAGACCUUGAUUUUCCUCAGUUUUCUCAGAAUUUUUACCCUUUUCUGCGAUCAAACCCUGCUUCCUUUCAGUUUGAUUCCCCUAUCCUAGCUCAAAACCCGAAAAUGUCUUCUCCAAAAAAUCGUGCCCAGACUUCUUCUUAUUCUGUUCCUCCUACCUACAUUACUGGGGCCGGUGUUGAUAAGCAUGUGAUUGAAGUCCGGAGCAAGCUUCAUCCUUUUGCCCAGAACGUUCUGGACAAGAACGUGUUACAUUUGUUCGAGAACACUCUUGUUUUGGAGCCUCAUCGGUUUGGUUCUGUCCCGACUGAAAUGGCAGAAUUGUUUAAAGAAUAUACUGAAGCUCCUCUAUGCUUUCAGAGCUCUUUCGUAGAUUUCAGUUUUAUAUAUAAACUAUCGUGUUUCUCCCUAUAACAUGUCGUUUUUAAGAAUUGUUGUCAAUGUUUUAUUUCCUGCUACUAUAAGACGGCGAUUAUUUAUACAUAUGAGACGUGUAAAUUAGAAUGAGACGUCAGUCUUUGGGAUUUAAAUUAAGUUUUUACGAUUUAAUGUCAUUUUAGUUCAUAUAAGGACAUAAAUGUCCUAACCAAAAAUAUAUUUAUGUACAUUGUCAAUAAAUUAAAAUAAACCUAAACAUUGUUAAAAUAAAUUAGAUCACUUAUUAUUCUGUAAUUACUUGUUAACGAAUUCAGCCCAUUCCAACCUGACUUCGUCAAUAUGUUCUUAUACAUACUGAACUGGUUCCUUUUUCUUAUCAAACUGCAAAUAAAUAACAAAAACCAACGUGUUAUAAAGAUUACAACGACUGCUUUUAAAGAAAAAGUUGUGGUACUAAAAUAAAGAAUUUAUAUCUUAAGUUUUGCCUUUUACCUUCUUCUCAAAUGCUAGGCCUGGAUCAUGAAUUAUAUCUCUCAUGAAAUGCAUCACGUAAUAGCCACACUCUACAUUUGUUGGUUGUCGAGGAGUGCCAUGUAGAUUUUUCCAUAUGACUGAUUUACAUGAUGAUUAAUUGCCUGUGUGAGAGUUAUACAUUUUGAUUGAACUGUUUCAAGAAAAUGAAAAGUGUUAAUGAUAAAAAUAAAAAUCUAAAGCAAAAAUAUUAAACGUCGUGGUAAAUAAGUGAAGACGAUGGUUUUGUUAAAAAAGUGAUGUUGUAUUUCAUUUCAAACGUUGGUAAAUAAAAACCGUCGUUGUGUAGAAUUCUAACGUCGGUGACGAUGAAAAAUGACGUAUAACCAAAAAUUGUUUGUAAAUGAAAGUUGAACAGAAAAAAAUAAAACUUCCUUAAAUGAAAAACACAAACGACGUGGUAUUUCAAUUAAAAUGACGGUUUACAGAAAAUACUGACGUUGUAAAUGAUUUCAAACAUCGGUUUGAAGUUACCAUCGUGUUUUCAUUGUAACGUCGGUAUUAGAAAAAGCCGUAUAUCAUUCAAAUGCAAAUAAAAAAAUGUUAGAUUUUCAUAGAUAAACUUACAUAUUCACUAUAUUUCUCAUGUCCUCGUCAACAACGCGGUUUGGCAAUGAAUCCAUGUAAUAGAUAGUCUCCUUCGCUGGUCUCACAAUUAUUAACACCCAAUGACCCCUACACAUAAUGAUCCAUAUAGGUUAAAUAUACUAGAAAGAAAAAUAGGCAUCAAGUAUAGUUAAGGGGACUAACCUUGGAUUACAAGGCACCAUGUAAAAUUGAUCCCCAUUUGCGUUUUUCAGGCGGUCUGAGAGAUGUUUCAAACGGUAAGAUAACGUUCCAGAUUGAGAGCUGACUUGUCCAAGGUCCACGAAGCCAAUAAGGUUUACCAUAUUUUCUAUUUUUAAAUAGUCAAAUAGGCACCUAAAUAUAUGAAAUUCAAUUAAAUGAGAUUUUAACUUUAAAGAAAGGAAAUGUAUAAUGCAAUCACUGUGGAUCCAAUCUCAACCAUGGAAGGAAAUUGUAAAAUAUCUUCACACAAGAGGAAGGUAUCAUGGUUAAUGCCAAAGGCUUCCUCUGGAAUGUGAAUUCUAAUGGUCUCGUUAAUGGGCUUCAACUUGGUCUCGACAAAUUGAAAUAAGGCUAACAGAGGAGGUGGCAUGUCUAGCUUUGAGAGAUCCUGUUACAACAAAUAAAUAAAGAAAUAUAAGUUAGUUUGUACACUAAGUAAAAUAAACGACUCUAACUAAACCAAUCAAACCGACGUGGUAUAUAAUAUAAUCGACAGUUUCUAGAACAUACUGAAGGAGUAAAGGUUAUAGACGACGGUAAAGACAUAACCAUCGUUAUGUAAAUGUUCUAACGUCGCUGCAUUAUGGAAAGGUCGUCUAAUUAAAAUGCAGUGAAGCCUUUAUUGAAAUACACGACAGUUUAUAAAAUAAACACCGACGUAGUAAAAUACUGAGACGACGGUUAUCAGCAACGUCUAUUUGAAAUUAUAAAUCAGAAAAAAUCAAAUAUCAAAGAUUUUACCGUUUCAUCUUGCCAUUGUUUAGCAACAUCAGCAUCAUUCGUGGGAUUUUCUUCCUCCAAAACAAGGGGUCUCACAUUAGAGCAGCUUGCUUUGUCAGACAUUAGAUUUUUUGGAGUAAUUGGAGUUUUAUUGAGCAAGUUGGGAUCACAGUUGGGAAUUAGUUGACUGAAUUGUUUCAAUAAAAUUUCCCUCUCUGCUCUGACUGCCUCCAAAACAGUUUCUUUUGCCUUAGCUUUAAUCUUUUUGGUUUCUUCUCUCACUGCCUCCAUAACACUUUCCUUCAAUUUGUUAGCAAAUUUUACUCUCUGCUGUCUCGACAAAUUGAAGAAUUGAGUUGGGGAAACCCCAGCUCCAACACCUCUAACUCUCCCACCAUGCUCAGGGGUUCCCAAAGCCAAGGUCAAAAUAUCGUUGCUCUCAGAGACAGCAGAGUGCCCUCGGAAACUUGUUUUUUCAAAUCAUCCUAAAAGUGAGAGAGAGAGAGAGAGAAUGUUAGUGAGUGAACAGAUAGUAAAACAGAUUAAAUAAACAACUAUACAAAAAUAUUAACCGACGUGGUAAAGACUUUAAAAAACUGAAAUCAAUCCCCAAUAGUAACAGGGACCAUGCAGCAACGAUUUGGUUGACAGUAGUAUAGGUUGGAGAUGCUGUUGAUCAUUAGAUACUAUUUUUUUAAAUAUCAAUUCUGUAACAUCCAGACCUAAAAAAUUAAUGAUUUUGAUUUAAAAUUAAAUUUAAAUAAGCAAUUACGAAUUUACCCUUGGGGAAGGGGUAUUUUGGUAUUUUUUUUUUAUUCAGAAAGAGUUUGGGGCAGUGACUAGUAUUUUUGGGUAGAUCGUACUGAGACGAAUCCGUAGACACGCGGUAGGCCUGAAUCGGAGUUGUAACGAAGAAACGGUGACCAAAAUUAGUCCAGUGGCAAACUUGUAAAUAUUUUGAACUUGGGUGUAGAAAAAUCUGAAACUGGCUUCCUCUCUCCUGCGUGCACACGUCCUUCUCUCUCUCUCCUCUCUCUCUCCUCGAUACCAUCACUCUCUGUCUCUCUCUUCGAUUCUCUCAAUUCUGGCCACGGCAAGGGCCGGGACUGGUUCCGAUCAACUCCUCACAAAGCCCCGAACCAGAACCACCACUUUUCUUGGCCGGAAAGCUCGAGUUUCGCGUGGUAAUCUCGACUGGUUUGAACCAGUUUUCCUCCGUCAUUGUGCCGCCGCCAUCGCAGCCCAAUCUCGGUUAAACAAGUGAGGUUUCUUACUCUUUUUCCGAGCUCUAGCUGCCUGUUGGGUAGGAUUGGAUUGAUUUUUUGUCUAGGAUCCCGAUUUUGAAACCUAAGUUUUGACGAAUUUCAAAGUGAAAUUCCGGCCGGUUGCCGUCCUAAUUAGACCUCCCCGUAGUUGAAUAAAGUGAUCCUCGCUUCGAGUAGUAGCUAAGGUAGGAAUGGUGAAUUGCGGUGUGGAGUUUUUCCAUCACUGAAAAUUACUCUACACAUCCACGCGUUGCCAGGGCAUGUGGAGGCGCAUGGGCAAUGUGGUGAGACCACAUUUUAUCCUGAUGUAGUCUCCUAGUCCUCACGUGCGCGUAAGUGUGCUCGAAUUUCAAUUCGAAUGUUGUUUGACUAUCGAACGGAUUUAUGCAUAUUGUUUCUUAUCCGGGUUCAAUAUGUUCGGACCAUUGGAUCGAGUCCAAAUUUACGUAUGUUAAUCUAGGCACCCCUAGGAUCAUGUGCGAAUUCGCGGAUCGUGAAUCGGAGCCCCGAAUGUUCCGAUUCAAUAAUUUGAAGUUUAUGGUUUGCGAUAACCGUCAAUUUCUGACCAAACCUACAGGACGUGUUUCCUAAACCCGUAGUCGGACCUUAGAAUACUCGUUAUGCGUGCACGCACCGGGAACUUGAGAAAAUUAGUAUUUAAUUUGUAAAUUCCGUUUUGAAGUGAUUUUUUAUUAAUUAAGGGUGCGUAUCUCGAAAUAGGUGCUCCAUCACUAGCACGCAGCAGGUAGGACCCUCUUGAGGUCAGGCAGUGUGGGACUACUUGUGAGUGGACAUUUAUUUUAUAUAUGCAUUAUUUUCAAUGAUUGAAAGAAUAUGCAUGAAAUAUAUAUAUUUUUUGGAAUAAAGAUUGAGAAAUUCAUAUGUUGUUAUAUCAGUAUUAUUUAAUUUAGAAUUUGGUUUGAUUUGAUGAUGAGUUAUAUAAAGGUCAAGUUAUUCGUGAUUAAGUCUUGGAUGAAUUUUGGGGGAAUCGGGAAUUGAAUAUUAUGGUUUAUGGUGGGAACUUAUAUGAUUACACUGUGUGGAGUACCAUCCCCUAGUUACUAGGCUUCCCACAUGUGGCGUUGGAAAUUUUCCAGCGUGUGAUGAUGUAGUCUGCACGCAUAGGACUUAGUAUUGGAGCUACACGUGGCGUUGGAAUUUCCGGCAUGUAAGCUAUGGAGUUUCGUCCCCCGGUUGGACCGCUCAUCCCUAGACGCAGGAUAGCAACUGAAAAUCUUGCGGGUUAGCCAAACAAUCCCCCGGUUGGAUUGUUUCCCCGGUACCUAAGUAGUGUGAUAAAUAUUAUGUAUAUUUAUAGAUAUAUAUAUUUCUAUGUGUGUGUGUGUGUGUGUGUGUGUGUGUGUGUGAGUAUAAAUCAGUUAAAGUAUAUGUAGUGGUUGGGUAAGAGCAGUAUAAAUUUUGGGGAUAAAGUUUAUGGAUAGAGUGAUUGAUCUCAAAGGGUUUCGGAGAAUGAUGUUUUUGAUCAUUAAAUAAAAGUUAUGAAUCUGCAUGUCUUGAGCAUUAUUUUUAGACGGUGGGGUUAUUAUGUUGUUUUGAAUGCAAAUUUUGUUUUUCCACUCACAUGUUUUCUGUUUUGCGCCCCCCAAACAGUAGUCGCUCAAGGGAGAGUUGCAAGCCAUGUUCGAGGCCCCGAACUGUGAACAUCAGUAGAUUAGGUUUCGAGUAAUUUCUUUCUACUCAACUGGAUGUUCUUGUAAACUAAAUUCGUUAGAUGCUCUAUUAUUGCCCCUGUUAGGUUUUACUUGUGAGGCCAGAGGCCAUUUAGUUUAUACUGUUGAAUAAUAAAUGCAUGCUGCUGGUUGGGAUUAUAUUGUGCUUAUGCAGGUUGAAAUUUUUGGGAUUGUUCAAUUUACAUGGGAGACUCUAGCAAAAUUUUAGUAGAGAGUCUCGGUUUUUAAUAAGUGGGCCAGGCAUCGGGGUAAUGUCGGAAAUAAGACUGGAUUCGUCCCGGUUUCCGAAGAAUUCGAGGCGGGUCCUGUCAAGUUCCUCCUAUUAACAAUAAUAAAUUAAAUAUUUAUAUAACUGAUAACAGUUCCUCAUAUUAACAAUAAUAAAUUAGUAUUUUGUAUAAUAAACAUGUUUAAUGAAAUUCAUCUUCUUCUAGCAUGUUUAUUUAAAUUCUAAGUUUUCUGAAGAAAAAAAAAAAAAAAAAGGAGAAGGAAAUGUCCUAAAUUAAAUCUUAAAAGUUCAUUUUUUUCUGUCCCUAUAUAUUUUUUACCCAAUUAUAAUUUGAGAAAAAAAGGUGAAUUAACUGUCAUUUCACCUUCAUCAUUUUCAUGAUUUAUAUAAGAUUCUUCAAAGAUCAUUUCCACAAAAAAUUACUUAAAUUCGAAUCCAUUUAACCGUCUAAUUAAAUCGUUAGGACCGUUGAAAUAAAAUUUAAAGUGAGUUUAAAGUGAGUCCUACUAUGUCUCCCUCAAAUAAGAUCAUUUACAGGAUCUGUCGAGUCAUAUGAGAAUGUUUAGCUUUUCGAUCCCAAGAGUUUGGUUCGAUUUUCAUAUAUAUAUAUAUAUAUAUAUAUAUAUAUACAAGUCAAUUUACUUUAAAAAGUUCACCAAAUUUUAUUUUUGGUCUCGGUAGUUUGCUUGAGGGCCUUUUUCUGUCAAUCUAUUUGUUGUGAUUGAAAGAUUUUAUAUAAAACAAAAGAUAUGUUUUUAUCUUAAAAAAUGCUUAUUUUCAGAUCUUUACAUAUAGACAUACAUAUGGCCUGAGAAUUCAAGCAAUAAAGACAUAAGCUGAUGAGCAUUCAUAAUCAUUAGAAUGAGUACUGAAUGGUCAACUCUUUCAAAAUACUUCGGAAAAAAACAAAGGACAAUACUUCCUUCCUUACUCAUAAGAAGGAACUCCUUCUCACCUUCUAUUGUCCCUCAACCACAAAGUAACAAGUGUUCUCUUUUUUUAAUUGUCAAUUUUUUUUUUUUCACUUUUACUGAACCCCUAGCUUUUUACCAAAGCAAAAAACACAAAACAAUAUUCCCAUUGUUUUUUUUUUUCAUUUUGAUUUUUUUCUCAACUUUUUGAAAAAUAACAUUUUUCCUUCUUCAGUAAAAAAUUGAAGUCUUUGUGGUUAAAAGCUAAGGUUUCAGUAAAGGUUUAAAAUAAAUAAAAAGUUUUGACAAUUCAAAAAACAGAACACAUAUCACUUUGUGGUUGAGCCGCAAUAGAAAGUAAGAAAGAAUUCCACCUUACCCAUAAGGAGGGAAGUAUUGUCAAAAAGAAAACAUCUUAAAAAACACACAGAAAACCCACCAUCACUACUUAAAAGAAGUAGAGAAGUCCAACAUUCUGAUUUUUAUACACCUACGUGACGUGAGCAUUCAAUAAUCAUCCUACACAUAUGUUGAUGUGAGCAUUCAAAAUCAUUAGAAUGAUUUAAUUGAAGACUCAACGUACGGACGUCUUUUUCACUUAGAUUCCCUUCCUGUACAAACUUGAAUCAGUUCCUCCACGACCCCAUCAAUCUCUUCAUCCUCUUUCUUGUUCACGUUGUCGCUUAUUUUCAAUGCCUUUUUUCUCACUCCCUCUCCAAAUUUCUCCACAACCACAUCUCUAAUCACCUUUGCGACCUCUUCUCUUUGCAAACUUCCUUCACCUGUUCUCUUAACCUCCACACCAACACCCACCUCCUCCACUAGUCUAGCGUUGAUCGGCUGGUCAAGAUGCAUAGGCAUGGCUAUAAUUGGAACACCAAACUUGAUGCUCUCCAACACUGAGUUCCAUCCGCAGUGACUCACAAACCCCCCAACACUAGAAUGCUGCAGUAUCUUUGCCUGUGGGGCCCAACCCUCCAUUAUCACUCCCUUCUCUCCCACCCUCUGUAAAAACCCUUCUGGUAACACCUCUUCAACCCUAGUACUUCUCUCCUCCUUAGAAAAUCUUAUAACCCAAAUGAAGCUCACUUUGCUAAGCUCUAAUCCGUGAGCUAUCUCUUCUAUUUGCUCCUUGGACAGAAAGUACUCACUGCCAAAGCAAACAUACACAACAGAAGACCUUUCCAUUUUGUUCAGCCAUUUCAUGAUCCAUGUUUCCUCAUCAACUUUUUGAUCCAUUGGCUCUUGAACAAGCGUGCCAACAGGCACGAUCUUCUUCCCCGUUAAAUCAGAGAGAUAAUCAAUAUAUUUUUCUUCAAUCUCGCUGGAUGUCUUGACCAAAAUGAUGUUACAAGAUCGAGCACUGCAUUGCUGAACACGGUCUCCGUCUUUGAUGCCAUUUGCUGAAGAUUCCAACAAAUUGUUGAACUUUUCAGCUUCGUAAUGUUGAAGAUAAAUCGAAGGAAAAGGAAACUUGACACUAGGGUUCUUGAGAUGUUGAAUACUAAAUGAAGUAAAGGCAGCACCCAUGGUGGUGAAUUCAAUGGAUGGAAAAUUUUGCAAUGAAGCUAGAGAGGGCGCCCAUGGUUGAAGAACAUCAUAUAUGAGCAAAUCUGGACUUAGGGUUUUGAGGAUGUUGGAGAAGUUGUUGCUGGACAUGCUGAAAGCCGUUUUGAGAGUGGACAUGAGAUGGGGAGGGAGGCCAUUGGUGGUGUGGUAGUGCGGUGGGAGUUCAGGCAAGUCAUCAUGUGGAAGAUGGAGUUCCACAAAUUCAAUGCAAUGAGAAUAUUUUUGGGAGAGUUUAGGCUUGAUGGAGCUGAGAUUUACAGGCGUGGAACAAAUAAAGAUGUGAAAAUUUCUCUUGGUGGUCAGCUUCUUGGCUAGCUCUAGGUAGGGAGAUAUAUGGCCGUGAGCUAGCCAUGGAAGCAAAAGAAUAGUAAGGCUUCUUUGGUCAGAGAAAACCAUAUUUUGUUUUCCUUUGACUUGUUUUCCUUUGACUCUUUUGCUUGAGGUUGCUCGAUUAUAGGCUUAUUGGUAGUUUGUUUGUGGCUAGCUCUAUGCAUAUAUAUAUAUAUAUAUAUAUAUAUAUAUAUAUAUAUAUACACACACAAAAACGCGUGAUGAUUGGAACAUGCACACGUAAGUUCCAGAGAGUGAUGAUUGGCCUAUGAUAAAGACUCGAAACAAGAAUAGUUUAAAUUUUCUUCUUUGUUUGGCUUGAUAUAAGACGAAUGCACCAAACAAACCGACUAAAUGCCGACACAAUAAUUAGGUACGUAAUAAUAUCAACUUUCAUUAUAUAGAUCUGAGAAACAAAAAGUUGAACUUUGAUGACAAGCGAUAUUAAGGAAGGGCACAAUCGAACUUAGGAUCUCGAAUGUUGAAGUACAUGCUCUUAACAACUUGAGCUAUAAGGUAUUUGUAAUGACAAUUUAUGGUUUUAAUUAUACUUUUGAAUAGUUGCUUCCUUCUCUUUCAUUUUUAUUUUUAUUUGUUUAUAUUUAACUCUAAUUUUAUUUAUAUUUCUGGUCAAGGUAUAAAGACUUUGAAUCUCUCUCCAAUUAUUUUUCACAGCCGAAACUCCUUUAGUUUCCACAAAUCUUUUUAAACAUUUCAGGCAUAUGUAUGUUUCCGAGUCGGAUGGUUCACGUAACCAAGAAAUUUAAACUUGUUUUUGUUUGUUCCUCCGAAGAAAGCACAACAAAAGGACAACCUACAACCAAUACUUCUCAUUGAAUUUGUUGCCGUGAAUGAUUAGGACUCUGCCCAAACUAGUAGUUGCGUUUCUGAAUUGUUUGAAAACACAUAUCAAAUUAUGAUUUCUCCUCCCCGAAAGAAAAAUUGACGUAGAAGUAUCAUGAUCUUGAUGACACAAAUUAGAAUCUAGGGUUUUCGAAGUGCCUAAUGGACAACUACUUAUUUAGAAAUAUAUAUAUUUUUGUGGCUAAAAUUUAAAUUUAUUAUAUAUAUUCUCAAUGCAGAAACACAUAAAUCUAAGUUCGAAUUCAUCCUUUUUUUGUUUUUUUUUUUUUGUUUUUUUAACCCAGAAGAAAAAUUGAGUCCCACUCUGCUGUGUAGAAUGCGCGUUUAGUAUAGAUUUUUUUAUUUUUGAGUCUCUUAUCUGGUUCCCGAGCUUCUACAUUUAGGUCUCGUGUAUUUAUCUGCAUUUUCUUAAAUCUAAAUCACUCAAACAAUCUAACCACUUAACAAAUGACACGUACUCAAACUUAAAAUCAGAAUGGAUGGAGUAGAGGCUUACACCGAUGAUUCUUGGUCAAGACUUGAGAGACAGAUGGAGACGAGGCAUGACAUAAAGUCUGAAGAAGAGAAACGAGGAAGCUUCAUUUAGAUGGUGGUGUAAGUGCAUACGUAAAGUCCAGAUUCAACAGGAAAGCAUCUUAAACGUAAAGAAAAUAAGUUUACCAGAAGCAAAAGAGAUACUGAAGUAAUUGUUUAUCAACUGAACUUAAACGAAAUAUUAACUCUUUGUUGUGCCAUAAGCACAAGAUCUUAUGAAAAAAAAUUCAAGAUAAACCAUAUAAUAUUGGGAGAUUCACGUUUAUACCGAAUAUAGGAAUUCAAAUUAUAAAAUAAAUAAAUAAAUAAAAUAAUCGAUAUGAAAUGGACUUUAGAAACACACACAAAGCCUAUUUACAACAUAACAAAAAGGUUUUUCCCUUCUUUUAAAUUACAAAACUGCCAUUGAUUUCUUAAAACAAACCCAACUCCAAAACCUCAUUAAAAAAGCACAAAACACUCAAUAGGGUGUCAAAGUAAUUUAAUAAUAAAAAAUAAAUUCAAUAAGGCCAAUUGAAUUUUUUGGAUUUUUUUUUGGGUUUGUUUAUAGAAAUUAAUGGUGUAGGGUUUAUCUAUAUUAUUGGUGUUAAGAAUGAAUAAUGACUAAAUAUCUCUAUAAUAUUUUCUAACUCACAAAAUAAUAUAGAAAAUAAAUGCAAGAACAAGAAAAUAGCAAUAUGCAAUUUAACGAAGCUGCUUACAAUCAGUGCAAAUGAGCAAACAAAUUCGCUAUUAAUUUAUGAAGUGUUUUUGUAUUUACAAUACCGCCUCUUGAAUGUCCACCAUACAAUAAUAUAGUUGCAUCAUUAAAAACUUUACUUGAAAAAUCGUUUGGGACAAAACUUAAGCUAAGAGAAAAAGAGUGCAACACAAAUGAUAUUGACAUCACAUAUGUCUCUCCUACAGAGUGAGCUUUGGUGAUGCUUGUAUAAAAAUUGCUUUCACAUCAUUAUUGGGAGAUGUAUGUAUGUCAUCAAUCAUUUGAAUCUUGUUGAGGUUAAAGUAAAACCAAAAAAAUAUCAAGGGCCAUUUUCAUAUAGUUUUUCACAAUAAAAAUUAACAAAAUAACUUCAUGUUCUUUAAUAUCAUCAAAAAAAUAAUAUAAACAAACUCAUAGUUUACCUUUUCAAUGAUAAGUGUUUGGAAAAUUUACAUGGAAUAAUAUUUGGUAUGCUAUGCUAGCAUCUCAUAAGCUCUUCAAGAGACCUAAAUUUUAUGAUAACUUCUUAAAAAAAUUUGAAUACUUUUCAACAAUAUUAAACUUGAAUUCAAACUCAUAAUUCAAUCAAAGUACUCAUUGAGGCAAUUUAGAUCAUUUUCAUUUUAAGAAAAUUGGGUGCAUACAUUGAGCUUCAUGCCCUUUACCUUCUUAGAGAUUUUCUUCGAGCAAUUUAUAUUGCAUGACAGAUUAUAUCUCUUAGAAUUUGUUCUUAUGUAUUCUUCAAGAGAUCUCUUCUUGCAAUAUGCUUCAAACACUUCAUAAUCUUUAUAGAUUUUUCAUGUAGAUUUAAGGUCUCCAUGAAUAUUGAGAUUGAAACAAGGAGUAAAAUAAAAGUUUAAGAAAAAUUUUCCCUGAUUAUUUUGUAAUUAUAAUGUUGGUGAAAACCUAAUUUCCUUUCUGAAAUUUGUGAAAUUUGUUAUUUGGCUAAGCUAAAAGUAUAAUAUUGACAAUAAAACGUAUACGAAAGUUUCUCUUUGGCUGGCUUCUUGGCUGGCUCUAGGAAGGGACAUUGCGGCCAUGAGAUAACCAUAGGAAGCAUAAUAAGAAUGCUUGGAUGCUCUGAACAAUCCAUUUUCUGACUCUUUUUCUUGAGGCGGUUGUUUUCUUAGGCCCAUCAGAGUUUAUGGUCGACAGAUAAGCUUCAAACACAUGCAUUGGUCGUGUCAGUUGCGAUAAACUCUUCCCAACAAUCUGAGACUCACAUCACUCCAAACACAUAAAAAGAAGUGGAAAUUUGCUAUUCUUUGUCUUUGUUUGGACAGCUAAUAGCAAAGCAUUGGAAACAUCGAAAAAAGAAAGUUAAUUAAUUUAAGAAAAACAAAGAAAUCCUUCUUUUUUUUUCUUUUUUUUUUCAGCAAACCGAAACAUAAAAUCCGAAAAAGAAGAAGGCAUGUCCAAAAUUACAUCUUGAAUUUAUUUUGGAGAUUCACUAUUAUACUCAAAUUAUAUAUGAAAUAAAUUUUAGAAACACACAUGACGCCAAUUUACAAUAUAACAAAAAAACUUUUAACUUCUUGUAAAUUACAAAAUUGUUAUCGAUUUCUUAAAACAAGCCUAAUCCUAAAACCUCAUAAAAAAAAAAUCAAAACACUCAAUAAGGCAUCAAAGUAAUUUAAUAAUUAAAAUUAAAUUUAAUAGGGUCAUCUGUCAUUUUUUGGAUUUUUUUCGAAGUUGUUUAUAAAAAUUAAAAUAAUGUAUAGUUUGUUUAUAAAAAUUAAAUGAUGUAGAGUUUCUUUAUAUAAUUAAUGUUAAUAAUGAGUAUAUGAAUAAAUGUCACUUUUCUUUAUUAACCAUUUAUAAUAUAUGAACUCAAGACUUCCUAUCGAACACCGAAUGGUCUUUCCAUUCCUUGUUAAUUCAAAGUCUGAAAAUGUUCGGUGUCAGCUCAUGAAUUUAAAGGCUUAAAGGCUCAAAACUUGAACGAAUAUGAAAGAAAAAAGUCGUUCACCGUUCAUCCUCUUCCUGCAGCUGUGCAUGCUAAUCACCCACUGAAUUAAACAUACAAAUACGCUUUAUGUUUUCUCAAAUUGUUCUUUGAACUAAGUAGAGGUUGGAAUACACUCGGGGUCAACAUUGUUCAAAUACAAAACACUUCUUAAUUUUAUAUUUUAUCAAAACAGAUCGAAACUUCAUUCAAACUGAGAACCUAGAUUACAAAACUACCAGAAAAACUGGAAUCUGCACUGUGGCCUCAUUAAAACCUUGCUUUAAAAAACUCCUAAAAGAGGAGAAUUCAGUCAAGAAAAAAGAGUACCACAGCAAGUGAAAUCCGAUAUCAUACUUCAUUCCUUUCUCAUACAAAGUUGAAUCAACUGCUCUACCACCCCAUCUAUCUCUUCAUCCUCUCUCUUUUUCAUGUUGUCUCUCAAUUCCAUUGCCUUUCUUUUCAAACCCUGUCCAUUUUCUUCCACCACCACAUCUCUGAUUACUUUUGCUAUCUCGUCCCUUUUCAGCCUCCCGUUCUCGUUGCCGCCUCCUCCCAUUCUCUUAACCUCCACACCAACUCCAACGUCCUCUACUAUUCUAGCGUUAAUAGGCUGGUCAAGAUGCAUAGGCAUGGCUACAAUUGGAACGCCAAACUUGAUGCUCUCCAACACUGAGCUCCAUCCACAGU
rnacentral:lncRNA from 1 species